GGGAGGUAGUGACAAUAAAUAACAAGCCAGGGCCCUUCUGGGUUUUGGCAUUGGAAUGAGUACAAUGUAAACACCUUAACGAGGAACAAUUGGAGGGCAAGUCUGGUGCCAGCAGCCGCGGUAAUUCCAGCUCCAAUAGCGUAUAUUAAAGUUGUUGCAGUUAAAAAGCUCGUAGUUGAAUUUCGGGGUCAGCAGGUUGGUCGUGCCACUGGUAUGCACUGGCUUCGCUGAUUCCUCCUUUCUGAAGAACUGUAAUGCCAUUAAUUUGGUGUUGCAGGGAAACAGGACUGUUACUUUGAAAGAAUUAGAGUGUUUAAAGCAGGCUAACGCUUGAAUACAUUAGCAUGGAAUAAUGAAAUAGGACGUUUGAUCCUAUUUUGUUGGUUUCUAGGAUUGACGUAAUGAUUAAUAGGGAUAGUUGGG
rnacentral:rRNA from 1 species